rnacentral:ncRNA from 2 species
CGAUCCGUGGCGGGAGAGUCCCGCCGGAACAGUGUGCGGGCGCCGAAGGAGCAAACCCUCCCCGGGAAUCUCUCAGGCCCAUGUACCGCCGCGGAUAG